UACAACUUUUGACAACGGAUCUCUUGGCUCUCGCAUCGAUGAAGAACGCAGCGAAAUGCGAUAAGUAAUGUGAAUUGCAGAAUUCAGUGAAUCAUCGAAUCUUUGAACGCACCUUGCGCUCCAGGGUAUUCCGGAGAGCACGCCUGUUCGAGUGUCGUGA
rnacentral:rRNA from 1 species